rnacentral:rRNA from 1 species
AGAUUUUCCGGUUGAUCCUGCCGGACCUGACUGCUAUCGGAUUGGUACUAAGCCAUGCGAGUCAUUGUACAAUACAAGGCGGACGGCUCAGUAACACGUAGUCAACCUAACUCGUGGACGUGGAUAACCUCGGGAAACUGAGAAUAAAACCAACCNGAUAGAUCNNNAUAGUGCCUGNAAUGGCUUAUGGUCCAAACAGUUUACUGCCAUGGGAUGGGACUGCGGCCUAUCAGCUUGUUGGUGAGGUAAUGGCCACCAAGGCGAUUACAGGUACGGGCUCUGAGAGGAGAAGCCCGGAGAUGGGUACUGAGACACGGGACCCAGGCCCUAUGGGGCGCAGCAGGCGAGAAACCUUAGCAAUGUGCGAAAGCACGACUGGGUCAGUCCGAGUUGAUUCNCUGAUAAAGGAGUCUUUUGCUUUGGUCCUAAAAGGCCCAACAAAAGUUGAAUAAGGGGUGGNGGCAAGUCUGGUGUCAGCCGCCGCGGUAANUUACCAGCACCUCGAGUGGUCAGGACGNUUUAUUUUUGGGGCCUAAAGCAUCCGUAACCGGCUCUGCAAAAAGGUCUUCGGUUAGAUCCAGCUGGUUUCCCAACAGAUGGGGCGCUGGAGAUACUUACAGAAAA